UGGGGAAUUUUGGACAAUGGGGGAAACCCUGAUCCAGCCAUCCCGCGUGUGCGAUGAAGGCCUUCGGGUUGUAAAGCACUUUUGGCAGGAAAGAAACGUCGCGGGUUAAUACCCUGCGAAACUGACGGUACCUGCAGAAUAAGCACCGGCUAACUACGUGCCAGCAGCCGCGGUAAUACGUAGGGUGCAAGCGUUAAUCGGAAUUACUGGGCGUAAAGCGUGCGCAGGCGGUUCGGAAAGAAAGAUGUGAAAUCCCAGAGCUUAACUUUGGAACUGCAUUUUUAACUACCGGGCUAGAGUGUGUCAGAGGGAGGUGGAAUUCCGCGUGUAGCAGUGAAAUGCGUAGAUAUGCGGAGGAACACCGAUGGCGAAGGCAGCCUCCUGGGAUAACACUGACGCUCAUGCACGAAAGCGUGGGGAGCAAACAGGAUUAGAUACCCUGGUAGUCCACGCCCUAAACGAUGUCAACUAGCUGUUGGGGCCUUCGGGCCUUGGUAGCGCAGCUAACGCGUGAAGUUGACCGCCUGGGGAGUACGGUC
rnacentral:rRNA from 1 species